rnacentral:rRNA from 1 species
CCUACGGGCGGCAGCAGUGGGGAAUAUUGGACAAUGGGGGCAACCCUGAUCCAGCCAUGCCGCGUGUGUGGAGAAGGCCCUCGGGUUGUAAAGCACUUUCAGUGAGGAAGAACGCCUGGUGGUUAAUACCCAUCAGGAAAGACAUCACUCACAGAAGAAGCACCGGCUAACUCCGUGCCAGCAGCCGCGGUAAUACGGAGGGUGCGAGCGUUAAUCGGAAUUACUGGGCGUAAAGCGCGCGUAGGUGGCUUGAUAAGCCGGUUGUGAAAGCCCCGGGCUCAACCUGGGAACGGCAUCCGGAACUGUCAAGCUAGAGUGCAGGAGAGGAAGGUAGAAUUCCCGGUGUAGCGGUGAAAUGCGUAGAGAUCGGGAGGAAUACCAGUGGCGAAGGCGGCCUUCUGGACUGACACUGACACUGAGGUGCGAAAGCGUGGGUAGCAAACAGGAUUAGAUACCCGUGUAGUC